rnacentral:rRNA from 1 species
UACGGGGGGGGCAAGCGUUGUUCGGAAUUACUGGGCCUAAAGGGCUCGUAGGCGGCCAACUAAGUCAGACGUGAAAUCCCUCGGCUUAACCGGGGAACUGCGUCUGAUACUGGAUGGCUUGAAUCCGGGAGAGGGAUGCGGAAUUCCAGGUGUAGCGGUGAAAUGCGUAGAUAUCUGGAGGAACACCGGUGGCGAAGGCGGCAUCCUGGACCGGCAUUGACGCUGAGGAGCGAAAGCCAGGGGAGCAAACGGG